rnacentral:rRNA from 1 species
CAUGCAGUCGAACGGUGAAGCCAAGCUUGCUUGGUGGAUCAGUGGCGAACGGGUGAGUAACACGUGAGCAACCUGCCCUGGACUCUGGGAUAAGCGCUGGAAACGGCGUCUAAUACUGGAUAUGAGACGUGAUCGCAUGGUCGUGUUUGGAAAGAUUUUUCGGUCUGGGAUGGGCUCGCGGCCUAUCAGCUUGUUGGUGAGGUAAUGGCUCACCAAGGCGUCGACGGGUAGCCGGCCUGAGAGGGUGACCGGCCACACUGGGACUGAGACACGGCCCAGACUCCUACGGGAGGCAGCAGUGGGGAAUAUUGCACAAUGGGCGGAAGCCUGAUGCAGCAACGCCGCGUGAGGGAUGACGGCCUUCGGGUUGUAAACCUCUUUUAGCAGGGAAGAAGCGUAAGUGACGGUACCUGCAGAAAAAGCGCCGGCUAACUACGUGCCAGCAGCCGCGGUAAUACGUAGGGCGCAAGCGUUAUCCGGAAUUAUUGGGCGUAAAGAGCUCGUAGGCGGUUUGUCGCGUCUGCUGUGAAAUCCCGAGGCUCAACCUCGGGCCUGCAGUGGGUACGGGCAGACUAGAGUGCGGUAGGGGAGAUUGGAAUUCCUGGUGUAGCGGUGGAAUGCGCAGAUAUCAGGAGGAACACCGAUGGCGAAGGCAGAUCUCUGGGCCGUAACUGACGCUGAGGAGCGAAAGGGUGGGGAGCAAACAGGCUUAGAUACCCUGGUAGUCCACCCCGUAAACGUUGGGAACUAGUUGUGGGGACCAUUCCACGGUUUCCGUGACGCAGCUAACGCAUUAAGUUCCCCGCCUGGGGAGUACGGCCGCAAGGCUAAAACUCAAAGGAAUUGACGGGGACCCGCACAAGCGGCGGAGCAUGCGGAUUAAUUCGAUGCAACGCGAAGAACCUUACCAAGGCUUGACAUAUACGAGAACGGGCCAGAAAUGGUCAACUCUUUGGACACUCGUAAACAGGUGGUGCAUGGUUGUCGUCAGCUCGUGUCGUGAGAUGUUGGGUUAAGUCCCGCAACGAGCGCAACCCUCGUUCUAUGUUGCCAGCACGUAAUGGUGGGAACUCAUGGGAUACUGCCGGGGUCAACUCGGAGGAAGGUGGGGAUGACGUCAAAUCAUCAUGCCCCUUAUGUCUUGGGCUUCACGCAUGCUACAAUGGCCGGUACAAAGGGCUGCGAUACCGUGAGGUGGAGCGAAUCCCAAAAAGCCGGUCCCAGUUCGGAUUGAGGUCUGCACACUCGACCUCAUGAACGUCGGAGUCGCUAGUAAUCGCAGAUCAGC